GAUAAGUCUCCAUCUUAUCUCUUCUUUGACUCUUUCAAAGCAACUAGAACAAUCAAGAACUCUCUCCCUCUUUCAUACCCACGGUCCAACAUCAAAAGAAAGAAAAACUCUCAACUCUUCUCUCCCUCUCACACCUAUGGGCAGUAAGGAAAAAGGUUUCUUUCAUUUCUUCUCAAGCUUUUGUUCCCAAUUUAAAGCUAGAGUGAUUCUAGCUCAAUCACUCCAAGAACCUGUGUCUAGGGUGUUACCAGCCCCCAGGUCUAAGUUCCUUCAAUUGUAGGCUUUCUGUUCCUUUGCCUUUAGGUAAAGGAUAAGUUAUAUGAGCAUUUGGUAAGUCAUGAAGUUAUUUUAAAGUGUAUUAUGCAUUAAAAUGUUUUUUAUUAGAGAUAUGACAUAUAAGCAUGUUUCAGACAAAGAUAUGUUCGUGAGCUUUCGAAACCUUAUGUAUAUGAUUUAAGCAUAUUGAUGCUAUUACUAAUUUCCACGAACAUGAUGUUUAAAGAAAAUAAUGGAAAUGCUAUUAUUGUGAAAUGAUAUGCAAACCAUGAAUUUCAGUAUGAUGUAUAAGUAUGAAAUGUUUUCGGGUUAUGUCCUCUGGUGAUCUGAACUCGGUCAGUAGGGGUUAAUUACUGGCUUUCCAUGGAAAAUGUUAUCUGUUUGGCCAUUUAAAGUAAAAGAAAUGGGGCUGCCCGUAACUCUAGGCCAUUUAAAGUAGAGGAAAUGAGGCUACCCAUAACUCUAAUCUAAACAAGACUUUCUUCCCAAUGUGUACGGAUAGCGAGGAGGAACAAAACCUUGAGGGGAUGUGUCAUCAGGCUUCCCAAAGAGGACAAUAUCAUACACACGAGGGCACCUAAAUAUGAUGAGGCAUUCUCUGUACAGACUUAUAAGAUAUGGACUAACCAAUAUGUUAUGAACACCUAUAUUAUGUUAUUGAUCAUGAGAGAAUGAUUUUGUUUAAAUGCAUUGUGAAAAGUUAAAAGCUCUCAUGGAAAGAAGAAGUUUCUGAUGAAAAGAAAGCUGUUCUAUAAAGAUAAAAUUUUCUGAAGUUCUGUUGUGCUUUAAAAAUAAAAAAUCUGAUGAAAAGGUUUUAGUGUUCUAUAAAGAUAAAGCUUCUGAUGAAAGUACAAGUUUAUGUUAAAAGUUAUCAGAUAUCUGUUCUUUAUGAAACGUUAAGUUUUAUGAUUAUGAAAGUUAAAAUAUUUUAUGAGAAGAAAUUUAUGAAGGAAAGUUUUAUUAUUCUUUAAGAUGCUUCUAGUUUAAGACAAAGUUACCAAUUAUCUAAUUUAAGUUAAAACAAUUUUUUUGUAAUGAGAAUAUAUAUAUAUAUAUAUAUAUAUAUAGUGACUUUGUAGGAAAUGAAGGAAAUUCAAUCCGAAAGGUUUUGGUAAUAUUAUUCUGAUGAGAAAAAGGAGAACAAUUAUUUUCCUACGAAGAGUGUAUAAGUUAUUAUUAUAAAUUGUACAAAAUACUAUGCAUGAAAAGAUGUUCUCCUAUCUGAAUAUUUAUAAAAUGAAAUGAUUUGAUUUACAUGCAUUCUUAUUAAAUUCUUAUGUAUCUUACCCUUAUUGAGUUUUGGAAGGAGCUAGUUUUAGUGUUAAUGUAUAGAUCCCAAAUUAGCAAUUUUAUGUUUAGCUUUGUAGUAUUGUGUAUUUAAGGAUCUAAUGAAAGUUGUGUAUCUUAAAGCAUUAAGAGAUGUAUUAUGUGAAAUUUAGAAUUUGAGUAACUGAUGGAUUAUGUUAUUCUUU